GCCAGUGUGGUGUAGUGGUUUGAUUGCUGGGCUACAACUCUGGAGACCAGGGUUCAAAUCCCCACUCAGCCA